rnacentral:rRNA from 1 species
AGUUGCCAUCAUUCAGUUGGGCACUCUAGCGAGACUGCCGGUAAUAAACCGGAGGAAGGUGGGGAUGACGUCAAAUCAUCAUGCCCCUUAUGACCUGGGCUACACACGUGCUACAAUGGGCGGUACAAAGGGUCGCGAACCCGCGAGGGGGGAAGGCCCAAAUCCCAAAAAGCCGCUCUCAGUUCGGAUGCAGGCUGCAACUCGCCUGCAUGAAGCCGGAAUCGCUAGUAAUCGCGGAUCAGCAUGCCGCGGUGAAUACGUUCCCGGGCCUU